ensembl:lncRNA
CCUGACGCGGGAGACAACUUUAUAUUACGCACAGAGGGACUGGUGUUGUGAAGUUUUGCCAUCCAGCGACAGAAAUAAUCUCAUGUAGAAACAAACACAACAGAGGGUUCGGUGUCUAGGAUCUAGAAUUUUGCGGCAAAACGUUAAGCGUAUCACUCGAUGCUCCACUUUUACAAAAGAAUUCAUUAAAACAGCGAUGCGUGUGUUGAGCACGUUACGCGUCCUCAUUUUUGUGUUUGAUGAAGCAUGAAGUAAGCUGUCAGAAACAUCCUGGGACAAGGCCACAGCCGGAGUGAUCGUGUAACCUGGGGACAGUGGAACGAUGCAGAUUUGGUGAGAAACCCCUCAGAAAUGAGUGUUUUGCUGAGUCUGGAUAAAGUCUGUGUGCCCUGAUUUGGAUAUUAAACAGUACUCACACAAAGGCCAUGAGGACGAGUCCUGUUUGUUCCUUCCUGCAGAACAACAGUGACAUGUUUUUGCAGCUGUAAAAGUGAGACUGAUGCUUUAGAAGAAGUUGAGGAUGGAUGCACUUACUUGUCAGAACGAGCUGAAGGCGUGAGAUGAGCAGAAAACUCAACCCUGACCAGUCUUCUCCUGGUGUGUUGGUGUGUUGGUGUGUGUGGACCGUUGACGGUAAAGUGAUGAUUAUAAACACACACCUGCAUGAUGACUCGGGGAUUCUGAGAAACAAACUCACACGUGUGUGUGUGUGUGUGUGUGUUUUUAAAACGCCGCUGAUUCACACACCGACGAGAGAAAGGAGGAGACGCCACGGCACACAGGAGCGUCACCUCCGUGUCAUGGCGACGUCCGUGUCUUCAUCGGGGAGUAAAGAUCUGGGGCUCAGGAGUGCAUCGCUGCUCGGCAAAACGUCGUCGAUCUCCAUCAUGAGUGAGAUAAAAAACUUCACCGUGCCGUGUUUGGAUUUGGACACGUUCCUCUCAGCGAAGGUGAAACUGCGCCAAGAAGGCUUUCUGGAUUCCAACAUGAAGACCUGCUUGGAUUUUGCGAUCCAGACGCUGGAGAAAUUCCCUGCCUCGAAACGCCGUGACGUCUCUCUCACCUUUGAAGGAGAGAGGCAGCUGGUUCGGUUCACUGCAGGAAACCCCGUCCUGCUGUACGUGGUCCGUGUGGGUCAGAACGGUCCAGAGCUUCAUCAGAAAGUCCCGGUCGGGUCUCGUCUCGUCCCC